rnacentral:rRNA from 1 species
GACGAACGCUGGCGGCGUGCUUAACACAUGCAAGUCGAACGGAAAGGCCCUGCUUUUGUGGGGUGCUCGAGUGGCGAACGGGUGAGUAACACGUGAGUAACCUGCCCUUGACUUUGGGAUAACUUCAGGAAACUGGGGCUAAUACCGGAUAGGAGCUCCUGCUGCAUGGUGGGGGUUGGAAAGUUUCGGCGGUUGGGGAUGGACGCGCGGCUUAUCAGCUGGUUGGUGGGGUAGUGGCUUACCAAGGCUUUGACGGGUAGCCGGCCUGAGAGGGUGACCGGCCACAUGGGGACUGAGAUACGGCCCAGACUCCUACGGGAGGCAGCAGGGGGGAAUAUUGCACAAUGGGCGGAAGCCUGAUGCAGCAACGCCGCGUGCGGGAUGACGGCCUUCGGGGUGUAAACCGCUUUCGCCUGUGACGAAGCGGGAGUGACGGUAAUGGGUAAAGAAGCACCGGCUAACUACGUG